rnacentral:sRNA from 1 species
ACCUAAACCUGACAACAGCGGCAGCCCCGAGUUUUUCUACGAGGGCUACAGCGGAUGGCAGGACUGCAG